GGUCAAUGAUGAGCUGGCAUGUAUUCUGAAUCCUAAGCUGAUUAUUACUACUUUAGCUCUAGAAUUACUCUGAGACCUG